CCUGGCCCUCAGCUCGAGUGCGGGUUUGUUACCCCACAGCCCCCCGGAGUGGUGUUUUAAGUAAAAAAUAACUGUAUUGCCGCUGCAUCUGCACCUAAUAGUCUUUGACUUGAUCAAGCAGAGCAGCAUUUACAUUUUAAAUCUGUCUGGUGAUGGGUUCAUGCUUUCUUAGGAUUUACUUGGAACGUCUGAAGCUUGAUACCACUGCCAGAGUUUUCAUCUAUUCUAUAGUAUCAGAUGUCACUGUACUGUCAGUCUGUGAGAUGAAGUUUUGCAUUCAUGGAUAUACACACAUCCACACUACAGGAGGGAUAGCGCAUGACUGAACACACAUAGAGACACAAAAAUAAUUCAACCUAUUAAAAACCCUCACACUUAGCUGAAAAUUGCAUUAACAAAACCAGUAUUUUUUCCAAUUCCUGUCUUAGCCACUGGAAUAAUCCGUCAAGACAUAUAAAACCACGCCAAAAAAAUCGAUGCAUUACAAGCUGUUUAAGAGUGGACAGAAUAUGCCAUUUAAUCUAACAACCACAAGUACAAAAUCCCUGCCUCAGUUCCUGCUGAGGAGGUGUGCUUUUGUGCCGCGUGGGCCUACAGCUAUACGUCUUAAUCAAGCCAUUUUAGAGACUACUCCACAACUCCCAAUUAAGUCCAUUGCUAUCCCCAACUGUUGAACUGCUUGCUGUGCUCUGCCAAACAGCUGCUGCAGCUCUGCACCUGGUGAAAUGAAGUAUGAGUUGACAAAAUAUUUUGGGGUUCAUCUGGAUGAAAGGGAUAGCCAAGGAAGGAGAAAUGGUUUUAGUGAGCAGAGCAUGAGAUGAAGUGGGACAGGUUUCCUGCUCAGAAUCUUCCUCACAAAUGUGCCUGGCAGCACCAAGAAGGAACCCUGGAGUUUUCUGACCUUUUUCUGGUGAAUGGUUCAACAAUCAAGAUGAUAUGGGCAUACCCCAGUGGAUCCUCUGCCACUCCAUGUGCCAUAGGUAUUUACAGCACUUCAGCCUCUUUAUUUCCUUCCUGCUUAUGGCAAUGCUCUCAUCUGUUGAACAAACUGAAUGCUUCAGCUAUUCUUAAGAAUAACCAGAGAAAUAUAAGUCUACAGCCAGCCAAAGUUGGACCUUCUGCCCAUAAACUCUGGAGGUGAUGUCUGAGUUGAGUUGCCAGAGAACAACUGAAGCAGUCUCACAUAUGUGAUGAGGAUGUUCCACACCAGGAAUUUGUGUUGCACGCACUCCCUGACUGAGUAAAAGUAACCCAAGAGCAGCUGUAAAUAUGCCAACAUUUCAAUUGCUUCAUGGUCAUGCCCAGUGGCAGUCAAACCUCCCUCUUAUGCUAUAUGAGACCAGCAAGCAAAUUUUGCCCAUUUUCAAUGAUGCAAUUAAGAAUGUGAGCAUUAUCUGGACAGGUUAGCUGUGCUGGGCACUCAGAGAACUAAUAUGGAAAUUAUUUUUGUUUCAUGGAAAGUAGAAGCAUCUGUCCAGUCAAGCAAACCAAGCAGUUAUUCUGCAUUAUAAAAUACACUUUUUAUAGCUAUUGAUGUUUCAGCUGGUAUUGCCACAUGUCAAUAGUGGGUUUGUUGCUCACAUUUUAAGGACAGCUUUCAGGACAGGAUUCAUCUAAACUGACACAGUCUGAUCAGCAGCAUCUUUCCUGUGAGCAUCUACAUGAUUUAUACAGCUUUGCAUUAUAGAGUAUUCAUGCUGUUAUAACAAAAAUUUUAAGAUAUUUUACAUUUUCUAUGUCUCAAUGCAAAAUACAAGCUUAGAACCAGACCUGCUUUCUAGGACAAUUAAAAUUCCAUGUUGAGACUCCAGAAUUAAGUCUUCAAGCCACAGUUCCAUGGGUUUCUAAGCCUGUCUGACCCCUCUUUUCCAGCACAGUGCUUAACAGAGGGGAAGUAAAUACUGUGCUUUAGCAUUUUCUCCAGUUCCUCCUCAGAUUAAUACUGAGCUCCAGAACAGAAACAUGCAAGUCCAACAUAUUCUCUGAUCAUGUACCUACAGUAGACCAUUGCUAAUUUCCCUCAUUUCUCGCUUCUUCAAACUUUAGAGCCACUUCAGCAACCUUCAUUCCUGAUGUCUUCCUUCACAUCACCAUUACAUUCUUGAAAUUAUCAAAGAAAAAUCAUUACAUCUGAUUUCAUUAGUAAAAAAUAAAUGGCAGCUGAUUAUGGCUUUUAUGGCUUCAACUUUAAAGAAAACAUAAACUUUCAUGAUCUAUUUUCAAAAGUCAAUAUAUCUUCAACUACUGUAUUUCAAACAAACAAAACACUGCAAACCUACUUAGAGUGAUAAAUAAACAAUGAUACAGUUCCUGGGCAUGAAAUCUAUACAGAUAAUUCCUUUGCAUAAUUCUGAUUAAUAGACAUGAUAAUGUGACACUGUUGAAGGAUACUAGACUUUAAUAGAAGCAAAAUGAGAAGAUGAUUCACUUACAAAGGAAGGUAAUUAUCUGAGAGCACUGUUUUGCUAAUAAUCACCAAGUUCAGAGAACACCUGCACAGAACCAACUUUCACUUUGGAAAGGGGAGUGCAGUAUUCUAAUCUGAUAAAUUUGAUUACAAAGCAGAGCAUAUAGAGCAGAACACCUAUAGAGAAUCAUCUAUUGCUUCAUCUAAAAUUGUGUUUUAUAAUCUGCAUUUGUAUUAAUUUAACUCAUGACAGUAUUUUUUUUAUUCUGUUUAGAAAGGAAAACGGGAAGGAUUUAGAAACCUUCUCAUUUUCUGUUUUAGUACUUUGAUCUGAGCUACUAGCACUUGCUUGAUAAGAAUCAUUUUAAACUCAUAAUUUAAACCUUAUUAGCAUACACCCAUCUUACAGCAAAGAAAGUGCCAGGCAUUUUUUGCAUAGGCACAUCAUUCCUAAUUAUUUCAAUUCCAUUCUAAAGGAUCUUUGACAGGGCUACUGAAAGGCUUGUCAGAGAACAGGGAAACAUUAUGAUAUUCUUUCCCCAUAUCCCUUUCCUCAUUUAAUAUGAGGGACAUUCUAAUAGAAUCAAGGCUAAUUUAAGAGCUGUUAAUCUUUAAGGAUGCUGUAGCUGGUGAAGUUACCUCUAGCACAGGGCAGCUGCUCUUCAGACACUUCUCUGGUCAGGUUCUAAGACAUACACCACCCUGUCCUUAAAACACAAACUCCUUCACUCCAAAGCCCAUGUGUUGCAAGCAGAGACACUUGAAUUUUAGUACUGGAUUGUUUGGCUUUUUAAGUGUUCAGUAAUUCAACAAUGCUUUUAAUGAUUCUAUUAAUUUUUAGCUAAAGCACAGGUUUUUUUUAACUGACUUCCAAAAGUCAUUAAAAAAGUCUUCACUGACUUUUUGGGGUUCUGUUUCUACAGUGCAUUUGCUAUUUUGAGAGUAAUUUAUCUGCUUCCUAGCAUGAACUACUGAAAUCAAUCUGCACUUUUAGUUAAAGUCCAUCAUCAGAGCCAUUAUAUGUUACAUUUGUUCAACAAACUACUAUAGUUACACAAUCCACAAGAAGUUGCAUGGUAACUGCAGCUAAGGUCCAGCCUGCUGCACCCAUCUGAGCUGUCCUGAAACCCACGGGGCUACUCUCACACCUCUGGGAUGAACAGCCUGGAUCCAGUGUGUUGGGGCACUGAUCUUCUAUGGACUCCAUAACAAAGAACCAGGUGUUCUGCAAUUUCUGAAAGAGGUGAGGAGCUGUCAAGUAAAACUAAGAAGUGUAUGAGCUGGGGUAUGAAACAGUGAAAAAUGAAAUACCUGCCAAAGAACCAAAAACUCAAGAAAAUAACUACUCACAGAAGUAGGAAGAAAAUUAAAAAAAAAAAAUAAAUUGAAAGAUAAAGAAGGGUGUACAAGAUCAAGGUAUGUUAAGUUCCUCUUUUUCAGCAGAAUUACAGCAGCCAAAAGCUUCACUCCAGUUCACUGAUCAAAGUGCCAGCCUGCUCACUGCUGAGGACAAGCCAGAUGAGGGGUGGAAAGGAGCCCCUGUGCAUAUGAUAAAUGGCUGCAAUGUGCUCAAUGAAUGGAUGGCACCAUUUUUUAACAAAUUAGAGAUGAAUGGAAGCUGGAUCACUUCUAACAGCAGAACACUUCAAAAGGAGCUGAAAAAGGACUGAAGUUCAGAGAUAUUGAUGAGAUCUGCACCAAAAUGCAGAGGGAGGAAGCUUCUGAAGCUUCCACUGCUGAAGAUAGUUAAUAUGAUACACAGUGAACAGAAAUUGAUACUGGGAGGAGAACUACCAAUGUGAAAUAGAUAAGGUAUGGCAAACUACCUCAAUGUGAAAAAUUAAGAGAACUUAUGGUAUUGUAAUCCAGAAGUCAUCUUCAUUUUUCUUCAUAACCUUCUGCUUAAUAAUUUUGAAAAAUCAUAGAGGAGAGGCAAAUGGUAAAAAUCAAAGGAUACUCUGAUAGAAGCAAUUACUUAAGGAUUACAUUUUCCUGUAGCAUGUUUCUGAGCAACAUGAAAUACUAGACAACUCUUUCUGAACCUCAGUUUGGAGGGAAUGAGAAAAUACAGUGUUCCCUGUGACAGCUUCUUGACUCUCCUUGGUAUCUGUGCUGCACCUGCUGCAUUUCCAUUCAGUACAGAAGGGAAAUAGGGACAAGUAGCAAACGGGAGCUGGUGCUAACAGAACCUGAAAGCUCUGACUCCAAGUCAAGAGCACUAGGAGUGCUCAGCAAUGCUCAGCAAUGCCCAGGACAGAAGAGAUACAAGCAGCAAGUGCAGGCAGCUGCCUUCAGAGCUGGGAACAUAUGGGUACCCGUGGUGGCUCUGCCAACAGCCCACAAUAUGCUGUAGAUCCAAGGGUCACUCUCUCCAGUGAAAGUAACUGUAUUUGAUUCUGGAACUGGGAAUUUUUCUCCAACACAAGGACAGAAAAACUGAGGUAAUUCUGGAUCCCCAAUAUCUCUGCACAUUUACACAGCCAAGGUCUUGGAGUCCCCUGUGAAAAGGAGAGAAGUUACCCAAUGAACUAUCCCUAGAGACUCCCAAGGAUCUCUGAGGAGGAUGUUAAGAGAAGGGAGGAGUAACCACUCCUGGGGACUCAGUGCCUGGCUUUCCUCAGGACUCCACAUCACUUUGUUCAGAAGGCAGGAGCAGCCUCUGUGGGGGGCCCAUGGACCCUCCCAACCCCAGGGAGCUUUCAGAUGUGCAUUGACAGGGAAAAUACACCAUUCCACAGCUCUGGACAUUUGGCUUCUUUCUCCCCAAUCCUGUCUUCCUUGCUUCAUCUGUAUAAAUGCUGGUCUUGCCAUUUAGCACUCAAAGCUACACAAAAGCAUUUAUUCCAUGUUAGACUUUUCCAUGCAGGGCUGGUACUUUGCAAAGAGCAAAAUGUGAAGUUUCAUAAGAGGAAAUAAAUGCAUUAUUUUCACCUUCACAGACUUUAGCCCUUCCUCUUGAGCUGUCUAGUGAUCCCAAACUGAAAACAUGCCAAGGCAUUGCAAUAUAAAUGCUUCAUUGAUUUUGUCAACCAAACAAGAAAACAAAUGUAUUCAGGCAAUCAUUAUGUUUAAAUUAAGCCUGAAAAACAUUUAACAGU